CCCCGGCGCAAGAAAAUAUCAAGCUUGUGACGUUGUGCUUUAUUAUUAGUUCGUCUGUAUUGGCUCUCUCGUGAGGAGGUUUAGACUCCAUUGUUUGUAAACAUUGCAGACAUUUUGAUUUCAGUGCAGUGUCCAGAAGCGUCAGUGAAUAAUAGUGCGUGUAUAGUAAAAGUAGAAAUGCCUUCUGCUGAACUUUGUCCCAUUCCCAAAAUGAGUGCACCGGUUAACAAUACAAAUUUCAAUAUUUCGAUUUCGUCGAGUGAUGUUGAGGGGCUCGUACUAGAGAUCAAGGAAAAUUUGAGGUUAUCAGGCCCAUCGCUGAAGGCAAAGCCCUAUCGUAACCUUUCACGGAAACCUCGAACCUCUCCAUAUCGUAUGCCUGGUAAAUAUAUGUGCGAUUCAUGUGACGCAAACUGUGUGAGGCACAAAAAUAAACAAAACGAUCUUGCUCAAAAGGACCCCUAUGAGCUACUACAGGCUCUACUACGCUCAGAAAAACUGAUCAGUGAGGCGGUCCGUCGCGUUCAGAUGGGAUUCACUUCGAAAAAGUUCUACUACGACUCUGAUGAGGAAUCUUCCAAGAGUCCAGUUUUCCGAUUAUAUCAAGACAAUUAAUCAGUUUCCUAAUCCGUUAUGUUUAUCAACUUAUAUUUAAUGAAGUUAAUGUUCCUUUUCGAAUUUUUGUGUGAUUGCUAAAUGUACUGAGGUGGCUGGUCAUAGCACGUUCAAGGAAUUCACAUGUGUUUACAAGGAUGGUUCGUGAACAAGAUCCCCACCCGCAUCCCAACUGCCAUCUGUAAUGGAUAUGUAGGUGCAUAUAAAUGAACACUUUUACCUUAAAGACUUAACAACAAAGCUUAAACAUGCUGAUGCGAAACGGAAUUUUUUCCCUUAAAAUUGUCUUUUACUGAUUUUAGUUCUCACACUUGUUUAAAUAAAAGGUUGUUAAUGUGGGAUUCUUGUUUUCUAAGUUGUCUGUUCAAAAUAUUUCAGAACUUUUCUUAUUUGCAAAAAUUUUCAAUAAUUUUGUUCAAUGUUUUUAGACUUUCUUGUAAUAUUGAUAUGAUAUGCGAUCUAGAUGAAUUUUCUGAAAUUGAAUGUACAAAGUAAUCAAGGAUUCAUUUAGAAUUUAAGACGUGAGGCCAGCUGAUUGAUCUACGCUUACUAAUAUUUAAAUAUUUGUGUGAAUGCGUACUUUUUUGUAGCCGUUUUACUAUUCGUUUUAAGUAUUAUUUUUAUCUGUGAUUACAGUUCAUAUACCCCUCGAUUUGUUUAUCUCGUUUUGCUAAAAUUUUUCCAAUAUUUGUAGAUAAAUAAUUUUUUUUUCAAAAUUGCUCUUUGGGCGGAAUAUAUGUCUUCACUGCAAUUAAACACAUAUCGUUAUUUGGUGUUUAUAAAACAGCACAUUGAAGUGUGUGGCAUCUAAAAAUAAAUAUUUUAGCAAGCACGAGGUUUACAAAAUCUGAUAGGUAUUUGCGUAAGUAUACUAUAGGCUAUAGUUAGCUAGUUGAAUUGAUAGUUUGCGUAACUAUUUCAGGGAUUCACUUUAUUCCUAAACAAAAUGUAGUUUGUAAGUUAAAUAAUCUUUUUUUUUAAAGCAUCCAAAGUUAUAAAGGAGAUUACUGAAAGCAGUAUCUGAAAUAUUUUCAUACGGUACUUUAGUUGUUGUUUGGUAAGAAUAUUUCGAUAUCAUUUGUUUUGUAUGUCAUGCGUUUCAGGCGACAUGCAUUUCUCCCCUAUCUUAAAUGAAUAGAUAAAAGUUGCAAUUUUAUGUGUUGAUCUUAGCAGCUUACAUAAUCUCCUUCAUGAAUUUCGAUUUGUUCUAGAAUAGGUUUUUCUCCUUUUCACCGUCUUUGGAGCAUCUAAAAAUUGCUCACUGUCACGUUUUUUCGUAAUUGGAUUUAAAUUUAUUUCGUGGUUAUCAUUUUAUCAUUAAAUAAUAAAAUUAGGAAAAUAUAUAUUCGAAAGAAUAUAUGAGAUACGUACAAACUUUAUUCUAGAUUAAUCUUUGUUUUUUCACAGCGAGAGAUAUUGAUUAAAGACGUUAGGUAUACCUACUGCAAGUGCUCUAUAUUCAUUAUAAUCUACCCGUGUUUCUGGUCAUUCUGGUGUAAAAUGCCUUCAAUAUUAAUGACAUAUUUACAAAGUACACACACAUAUCCAAAGUAAUUACAGUUUCGCUAUGUUCGCGUAUGUAGGUGUUUCAAUUUCGCUUUUUUUAGUCCAUGCGUUGAUUUUCACGUCCUUACUUUUUACUUUCGGCCGGUAAAAAAAUUCUAAAAAGCAGUUUAAAAACAACAAUGCCGAUUAAUUCGUGAUUAACAAAUUAUGAAUUUUUCUAAUUUAGGUAGAAGCAUGGAAUUUUUAUUAUUCGCUUGGGGUAUUCCUGUAUUUAUUAUGUAUGUUCAAUAAUUAUACCAAAUUUUCUGUUUAUUUCUAGGUUUUUGUAAGAAAAAAUUACUUUAGUUUUGUAGUUAGUUGAAAAAGAGCUCGUGUAGUUUUAAGGUCGAUUUUUGUAGUUGUCAUUCGACGUUUAUGAAAUCUAUGUGAUGUUAGUUACUACGCUCUUUUCAGCGCUUUUCAUAUUACUGUUAAAGUUUUAGUCUUAGAACAGGACACCUAAAAAUAUCUAUUUUCAUAUGUAUUGUUAGUCGUCUGUUAACCCUGAUAGUAUUUUUCCACGACACAAAGCAAAAAACGAUUUCAGGACAACCACCCAUUCAAAACAGAAAGUUUUGCUUUACUUGAGGAUUUUAGAAAAUGAUAUUUUUAAGUUCAUUAGAAUUUUCCACUGUUGGUACAAAAAUAACUGAUUUCCUAGCAGUUAAAUGUUUCACCUUCAGUAAUAGACGAUCUCGUAUUUUUUGUUCGACCGAAAUAUGUAGAAUUCAUUCUAUUAAUAUUUCUAGAGCAGCAAUAACUACUAUCAGUUCAUGUGUUUUGCAUUAUUUUGUUUUGCUGACUUAGCGAUCCCUAUUAUUUUAUGUUCAAGUCAGAUAUGCUUAUAUGCGAUUUUUUAAUUUGAUACGUUUAUUUUCCUAUUAGCGAUGGAUGUAAAUGAAAAAUGUAAAUACAUUUGGGAAAGUAAA
rnacentral:lncRNA from 1 species